rnacentral:rRNA from 1 species
CACCUACGGGAGGCUGCAGCAACGAAUAUUCCGCAAUGGGCGAAAGCCUGACGGAGCGACGCCGCGUGAGGGAUGAAGUCCCUUCGGGAUGUAAACUUCAAUAGUACGCCAGGAACCGAUCUUGGCUAAUAUCUGAGAAAGUUGACCAGCGUACGAAAGAGGCGGCUAACUCCGUGCCAGCAGCCGCGGUAAUACGGAGGCCUCGAGCGUUGUUCGGAAUCACUGGGCUUAAAGCGCGUGUAGGCGGAACGGUAAGUACUUUGUGAAAUCCCCGGCUUCAAUCCGGGAACUGCUUGGUAUACUGUCGUUCUUGAGGCAGGUAGGGGUCACUGGAACCUUAGGUGGAGCGGUGAAAUGCGUAGAUAUCUAAGGGAACGCCUGUGGCGAAAGCGGGUGACUGGGCCUGUCCUGACGCUGAGACGCGAAAGCGUAGGGAGCAAACGGGAUUAGAUACCCCGGUAGUCUACGCCGUAAACGAUGCGCACUAGGUUCGAGGGUUCUGACGACCUUCGUGCCGCAAGAAAACCGAGAAGUGCGCCGCCUGGGGAGUACGGCCGCAAGGCUAAAACUCAAAGGAAUUGACGGGGGCUCACACAAGCGGUGGAG